UGGCGGCGUGCCUAAUACAUGCAAGUCGAACGCACUGACGUCGACAGAAGGUGCUUGCACUGGAAGUUGAUUGACGUGAGUGGCGGACGGGUGAGUAACACGUGGGUAACCUGCCCUUAAGCGGGGGAUAACAUUUGGAAACAGAUGCUAAUACCGCAUAAAAGUUGAGAUCACAUGGUCUUAAUUUGAAAGACGGCCUUUGGCUGUCACUUAAGGAUGGACCCGCGGCGUAUUAGCUAGUUGGUGAGAUAAUAGCCCACCAAGGCGAUGAUACGUAGCCGACCUGAGAGGGUAAUCGGCCACAUUGGGACUGAGACACGGCCCAAACUCCUACGGGAGGCAGCAGUAGGGAAUCUUCCACAAUGGACGAAAGUCUGAUGGAGCAACGCCGCGUGAGUGAAGAAGGUUUUCGGAUCGUAAAACUCUGUUGUUGGAGAAGAACAGGGACUAGAGUAACUGUUAGUCCUUUGACGGUAUCCAACCAGAAAGCCACGGCUAACUACGUGCCAGCAGCCGCGGUAAUACGUAGGUGGCAAGCGUUGUCCGGAUUUAUUGGGCGUAAAGCGAGCGCAGGCGGUUUCUUAAGUCUGAUGUGAAAGCCUACGGCUUAACCGAAGAAGUGCAUCAGAUACUGGGAAACUUGAGUGCAGAAGAGGAAAGUGGAACUCCAUGUGUAGCGGUGAAAUGCGUAGAUAUAUGGAAGAACACCAGUGGCGAAGGCGGCUUUCUGGUCUGUAACUGACGCUGAGGCUCGAAAGUAUGGGGAGCGAACAGGAUUAGAUACCCUGGUAGUCCAUACCGUAAACGAUGAAUGCUAAGUGUUGGAGGGUUUCCGCCCUUCAGUGCUGCAGCUAACGCAUUAAGCAUUCCGCCUGGGGAGUACGACCGCAAGGUUGAAACUCAAAGGAAUUGACGGGGGCCCGCACAAGCGGUGGAGCAUGUGGUUUAAUUCGAAGCUACGCGAAGAACCUUACCAGGUCUUGACAUCUAGCGCCAAUCCUAGAGAUAGGACGUUCCCUUCGGGGACGCUAAGACAGGUGGUGCAUGGUUGUCGUCAGCUCGUGUCGUGAGAUGUUGGGUUAAGUCCCGCAACGAGCGCAACCCUUAUGAUUAGUUGCCAGCAUUUAGUUGGGCACUCAAAUCAGACUGCCGGUGACAAACCGGAGGAAGGUGGGG
rnacentral:rRNA from 1 species